rnacentral:lncRNA from 1 species
GGUUUUUCUUUGAAGGAUGCAGAGAUUAUUUUAUUCCCCAAGUCAACAUUAUCUGCACGUGAGCCAUGUGGGCUGUCUCCUUAGUCUCUUCAUCUCCUUUCCUGGUGCUGAACCCUCCCCUCUUUCUUUUCCCUUUUGGAGAACUUAACACCUCUGGUUCCUGUGUCUGCACAAAGGUGGAAACCAUUGAAUCUUAACUCUCGAAUCCCCUCCUCCCUCUUCAAAAUCUCCCACUUGGUCACCCUCUGGCUCUUCUUUUGCGUCUGACUUUGAAAACUAAGUAACUAUUUUUCCUUCUACCAAAGAGAACCCUCCUAUUUGAACUCUUCAUUCCACUGGUGCUGCUGCCCCACACUUUGGUUAAGCUCCCAAUUCUAACUUGUCUUCUUGUUCUCUAUUUCUAUGGGUUUGUCUGGGAGACAAACCCAGGUUUCCUCCAUCUCUUUUUGCUAUUUUCUUUAUGAUAAAACCUCUCAGUGAAAAUCUCACUUAGUCUCUCUUCUUCAAGCAGAGAUUGGCAUCACCCCUCUUUUUAAUAUGUUCUUUACAUUGAACCAGGGCAGAACUUUUAUUAUUCUUCUAGACCCAUUUUACUUCUGUCUUGGAACUCUGUUAAUCCAAUUUACUUAAAUUAAGCUGUUUUCUAAAAGCACUACUCACAAAAAUUGUUUUUAAAAGUACUUUUUCCUUCUGCCUUCCAGCUCCCUCCACAUUUCUCCAAAGGAUGAGGGUGACCUGCCCAAAGCAUCACUUCUUCCCAUGCUGGAAGAGUCCAUGCGUGAAACUGCUGCGUCUUACUGCUGAGAACGGCAGCUAUUUGAUUGUGCCAUUGACACAGAAAGGGAGACCUUUAUCCUGAUUUCAGAUCCCAACAACAGUAAAUAGAGAAGCUCUUAAAGAGGAUUACAUGACGCCAUAUCUCCCUACUCUCUCAUUAGGACACAGAGGGGGCAUCGGAGGUGGAGGUCAUUGCAUUUUCCAGCAGGCCACAGGCUGCCUGCACACUGGGAGUGGGGACAGCGGCACAGCUCUGUGACCAUGAGGGGACCUCCAUCAGCCUGUUUUCCAGGCUGGCCUCCUCUAGGAGGCGUGGAGUCCAUACUGACAGCAGGGGUGUCCUCUGAGUGCUUUUCCUUUCUGUGAAACCUCUUUAAGUUAGUGGAUGGUUGCUCUUACAACAAGACAGUAUCUUACGUAAAGAUGUUUCCUAGGUGUUAAUGUUUGUUGAGUAAUAUUCAAG